GAACAUUGUAACAGAAGAUAAUGGCCACAGGAUCUAACAAUGUCAAGUAAUCUUAAGGUCUUGCAAGCCAAAGGAGCCAAUAACAAUGAAUGCCAAAAAUAUCAAUCUGACAACUGUUCCGUAAUGUGAUGUUGGACUUGAGAAAAGCAUGGCUGUGAAGCCUAAAUGGAUGAGCACUUUGUUGUAGCUGACAUGAAUUGCUUCAACAACAGGCAUCUUUAGGCUGAGCAAAUGCAAAAUUCAUAGACAGCCAACAAUAAUUCGAAGCUAGAGUGCACCUCUGCAACUCAGAACCAGACAUUUGAAAGGCCAUCCAACUCCCAAAAGCUCCAGAAAUCUAUUUAUUUCUCAUAUUGUACACCACUAGUCCCCAUAUAUAUGAUAUGUUUCCAAAAAAUAGGUCUCAAAUGCAAUCAUAAAAGUGCACAUGCAGAAUCCUGAGCACUACACACUGAGCAAGUUUUUACACCAUAAGUUGCCCCACUGAUACCAAAACUAAUUCCUUUACUGGACUUGGGUAACAAAGGAGCUAAUAAAACAUAAUUUACCACGCCGCUCAGGCAUAUUAAUAAAUUGACAAUUUUGUAAAACACAUACAUAAGCGAGCACACAGCCCUAGAUGGUACACCAGCAUGAGAAAUUUCACCAAACAAAGUCCAAUAAACUCUACCAAUCUUCCAGCGGGCAAAAGGAAUCUAUCAAUCUCCCAAAAGACAGUCUCAAGGCUCAUGAUCCUGAUAUUUCUACUUGUGCAAUUUGGAGGGCUCUUAACAGUCAUAAAAAAAAAUGCUUUGUAUGAAGCAAUGUACCUU
rnacentral:lncRNA from 1 species